AGCGAACGCUGGCGGCAGGCCUAACACAUGCAAGUCGAACGGACCCUUCGGGGUUAGUGGCGGACGGGUGAGUAACACGUGGGAACGUGCCUUUAGGUUCGGAAUAGCUCCUGGAAACGGGUGGGAAUGCCGAAUGUGCCCUUCGGGGGAAAGAUUUAUCGCCUUUAGAGCGGCCCGCGUCUGAUUAGCUAGUUGGUGAGGUAACGGCUCACCAAGGGGACGAUCAGUAACUGGUCUGAGAGGAGGCCCCGCCACCCUGGGACUGAGACACGGCCCCGACUCCAGCGGGAGGAAGGAGGGGGGAAUCUUGCACACCGGGCGAAAGCUCAACGCCCCCCAGCCGGGUAAAUAGUGAAGGUUUUAGGAUUGUAAAAUUCUUUCCCCGGGGCCGAUAGUAGCGGAACCCGGGGAAGAGGCCCCGGCUAACUUCGC
rnacentral:rRNA from 1 species